rnacentral:rRNA from 1 species
CAAAUCAGGUAGGAUUACCCGCUGAACUUAAGCAUAUCAAUAAGCGGAGGAAAAGAAACUAACAAGGAUUCCCCUAGUAACUGCGAGUGAAGCGGGAAAAGCUCAAAUUUAAAAUCUGGCGGUCUUUGGCCGUCCGAGUUGUAGUCUGGAGAAGUGCUUUCCGCGCUGGACCGUGUACAAGUCUCUUGGAACAGAGCGUCAUAGAGGGUGAGAAUCCCGUCUUUGACACGGACUACCAGUGCUUUGUGAUGUGCUCUCAAAGAGUCGAGUUGUUUGGGAAUGCAGCUCAAAAUGGGUGGUAAAUUCCAUCUAAAGCUAAAUAUUGGCGAGAGACCGAUAGCGAACAAGUACCGUGAGGGAAAGAUGAAAAGCACUUUGGAAAGAGAGUUAAACAGUACGUGAAAUUGCUGAAAGGGAAACGCUUGAAGUCAGUCGCGUUGGCCAGGACUCAGCCUUGCUUAUUUGCUUGGUGCAUUUUCUGGUUGACGGGCCAGCAUCGAUUUUGACCGCUGGAAAAAGAUUAGGGGAAUGUGGCACCUUCGGGUGUGUUAUAGCCCUUAGUCACAUACAGUGGUUGGGAUCGAGGACCGCAGCACGCCUUUAUGGCCGGGGUUCGCCCACGUUCGUGCUUAGGAUGCUGGCGUAAUGGCUUUAAACGACCCGUCUUGAAACACGGACCAAGGAGUCUAACAUGCCUGCGAGUGUUUGGGUGGAAAACCCGAGCGCGUAAUGAAAGUGAAAGUUGAGAUCCCUGUCGUGGGGGAGCAUCGACGCCCGGACCUGAACUUCGGUGAUGGAUCUGCGGUAGAGCAUGUAUGUUGGGACCCGAAAGAUGGUGAACUAUGCCUGAAUAGGGUGAAGCCAGAGGAAACUCUGGUGGAGGCUCGUAGCGAUUCUGACGUGCAAAUCGAUCGUCAAAUUUGGGUAUAGGGGCGAAAGACUAAUCGAACCAUCUAGUAGCUGGUUCCUGCCGAA